rnacentral:rRNA from 1 species
UUGAACUGAAGAGUUUGAUCAUGGCUCAGAUUGAACGCUGGCGGCAGGCCUAACACAUGCAAGUCGAGCGGAUGACGGGAGCUUGCUCCUUGAUUCAGCGGCGGACGGGUGAGUAAUGCCUAGGAAUCUGCCUGGUAGUGGGGGACAACGUUUCGAAAGGAACGCUAAUACCGCAUACGUCCUACGGGAGAAAGCAGGGGACCUUCGGGCCUUGCGCUAUCAGAUGAGCCUAGGUCGGAUUAGCUAGUUGGUGAGGUAAUGGCUCACCAAGGCGACGAUCCGUAACUGGUCUGAGAGGAUGAUCAGUCACACUGGAACUGAGACACGGUCCAGACU